UACAGAGGGCAGGUGGAGUAGCUCUGCGCCAGGAGGAUCUGAUCCCUUCCCUCUUAAGCACCUCUGUCUGGAAAGGAAAUACCUGGUCGUCAGGUCCAGGAGCAGCUAAACACCUUGUUCGUUGUCAUACCGUGAGGUGGAAGCCUCACUUGACAGUAACACUGAAAUCUCCCCUGACCUAGUUUCUGUUCUCGGCAGCACAGGAUUGCAAAAAAAAUGAGUCCUUGCCCAUUCUCAGCUGGAUCUGGUGAGGCUGGAACUACUGGAAACUUUUUCAAGCAAAUUAAGGUAGGAAAAGCUUAUUGCUGGAACUUACUGUUUUUUUCAGAAGUUUUUUAUUCCAGGACUGUGCAUAGACUUUGUCCUGCUCUGAUCCCAAAAGA